rnacentral:rRNA from 1 species
AUAUUGCACAAUGGGGGAAACCCUGAUGCAGCAACGCCGCGUGAAGGAAGAAGGUCUUCGGAUUGUAAACUUUUGUCCUCAGUGAAGAUAAUGACGGUAGCUGAGGAGGAAGCUCCGGCUAACUACGUGCCAGCAGCCGCGGUAAUACGUAGGGAGCGAGCGUUGUCCGGAUUUACUGGGUGUAAAGGGUGCGUAGGCGGACUGGCAAGUCAGUGGUGAAAACUAUGGGCUUAACCCAUAGACUGCCAUUGAAACUGUUGGUCUUGAGUGAAGUAGAGGUAGGCGGAAUUCCCGGUGUAGCGGUGAAAUGCGUAGAGAUCGGGAGGAACACCAGUGGCGAAGGCGGCCUACUGGGCUUUAACUGACGCUGAGGCACGAAAGUGUGGGUAGCAAACAG